rnacentral:rRNA from 1 species
UACGAAGGGGGCUAGCGUUGCUCGGAAUUACUGGACGUAAAGCGCACGUAGGCGGUCUUUUAAGACGGAUGUGAAAUCCCUGGGCUCAACCUAGGAACAGCAUACGUGACUGGCAGGCUAGAGUAUCGAAGAGGGGGGUAGAAUUCCACGUGUAGCAGUGAAAUGCGUAGAGAUGUGGAGGAAUACCGAUGGCGAAGGCAGCCCCCUGGUCAGAUACUGACGCUGAGGCACGAAAGCGUGGGGAGCAAACAGG